rnacentral:rRNA from 1 species
UGCUAAUACCGGAUAACAACAGAUGAUGCCUAUCAACUGUUUAAAAGAUGGUUCUGCUAUCACUCUUGGAUGGACCUGCGGUGCAUUAGCUAGUUGGUAGGGUAACGGCCUACCAAGGCGAUGAUGCAUAGCCGAGUUGAGAGACUGAUCGGCCACAUUGGGACUGAGACACGGCACAAACUCCUACGGGAGGCAGCAGAC